rnacentral:lncRNA from 1 species
CCCCGUGGCAUCACCCUCUCCACACCCUCCCGACCCUGACUGGCCAUCGUCACUGUGUUCUCCUUGCCCCUGUGUUCAUCACGUGACCUCCCUGCCCCGUGUCACGGCGUGUCCUGCUUCCACAUUCUACGACCUCACGUGUCGGGCACGUCCCUGUCAGUUCCACAGACACGUCCCGUACCUGGUGGACGGCCUGUGGGAGGCAGCGCCCGCCCUGGUCCGGAACUGGGAGUGCAUGACGGCCCUGCUGCUGGAGCCCCGCGGCGGGUGCCAAGCCCUGACCAGCCAGCAGGAAAGAGUGCUCAUUGAGAUCCUCGUGGCCGCCGUGAGACAAGCUGCAGAGGGGCGCCCACCUGCCGGCCGGCGCCUGGGCAAGAAAGUCAGUGCCACCCCCUGCCCCCUGCCUUGGUGCUCUCCGUCCCCUGUGCUGAGCGCUCUGCUGUGGGCUCUGUGGCCGUCCGCUCCCGCCUCCGCCUCGCAGUGCCCCCCGCCCGCGUGGCCCCGAGAGCCGCUUGCUGCUGCUUCCGCCUUGUGCUUGUCACCCUGACUGCUCACUUGGCCCCUGGCCGUGCGGGCGGGACUCCUGGCCACCCAGGUAGGUGUCGCUGGCCACGCCUCGCAGCUGCGGUGCACCCCUCCUGCUGGCUGCCGAGCCCUGUGCCCACUGGGUCCUGUGUCUGCCGUCUGCCUCCCCGGGGAGGGCAUGCCGUAGCCUGCCUUAUGCCGUGUUCUCUCUGGAUGUAGCUGUUUGUCGGCCAGCCUUGGAUCUGCCUCCGUGUGAGCCUCUGCUGCUGCUGGGACAAAAGAUCACACCCCAGGGCACUUAAACACCACAGGAGUUAUACAUGGUGCCCCCACUCUGGAGACCAGAGUCUGAGAUGCAGGCGGAACAGGAUCUCUGAGAUCCAGGCAGGGCAGGGAUGCCGAGUUCCGGGCAGGGCAGGACCUCUGAGAUCCCAGCGGGGCAGGACCUCUGAGAUCCAGGCAGGGCAGGGAUGCCGAGUUCCGGGCAGGGCAGGACCUCUGAGAUCCAGGCGAAAAGAGCUGUGUUCCCGCCUGAGGCUGCCGGGGAGGGUUCUCCCCGCCUUUUCCAGGUGCUGAGGCUCCAGGUGACCCUGGGCUCUGGUUGAGUCCCUCCCACUUCUGCCUUUGUCCUCCCUUGGCUGUCAUGUUCUCGUCUGUGCACACGUCCAGCUCUGUGUGUUAAUAUCCGUUUUAUGGCAACGUACCAGUAGAUAAGGGUCCCACCCUGAGGUGUGACCUUGGGGGAGGCGGCUGAGUUCUUGACGGCGUCCCUGCGUGGGCAGCACUUCCUUGGAAACAAAAACCCGAGUCGUCGUCCAGAGCUUUAUCCUUGAUUUGGGGGGAGCUCCGCCUGGGUAUGACCUGGCCACGUGGCAGCAGGUCCCAGGGCCGCCGUGGGACCCCCGUGGGUCC